ACGUAGGGGGCAAGCGUUAUCCGGAUUUACUGGGUGUAAAGGGAGCGUAGACGGCACGGCAAGCCAGAUGUGAAAGCCCGGGGCUCAACUCCGGGACUGCAUUUGGAACUGCUGAGCUAGAGUGUCGGAGAGGCAAGUGGAAUUCCUAGUGUAGCGGUGAAAUGCGUAGAUAUUAGGAGGAACACCAGUGGCGAAGGCGGCUUGCUGGACGAUGACUGACGUUGAGGCUCGAAAGCGUGGGGAGCAAACAG
rnacentral:rRNA from 1 species